rnacentral:rRNA from 1 species
UACGAAGGGGGCUAGCGCUGUUCGGAUUUACUGGGCGUAAAGCGCGUGUAGGCGGGUCGUUAAGUUGGGGGAGAAAUCCCGGAGCUCAACUCCGGAACUGCCUUCAAAACUGGAGACCUGGACUCAAGCAGAGGCAAGUGGAAUUGCGAGUGUAGAGGUGAAAUUCGUAGAUAUUCGCAGGAACACCAGUGGCGAAGGCGACUUGCUGGGCUUGUAGUGACGCUGAGACGCGAAAGCGUGGGGAGCAAACAGG